AGAGUUUGAUCMUGGCUCAGGACGAACGCUGGCGGCGUGCCUAAUACAUGCAAGUCGAGCGGACUGGAUUGGAGCUUGCUCUGAUUCGGUCAGCGGCGGACGGGUGAGUAACACGUGGGCAACCUGCCCGCAAGACCGGGAUAACUCCGGGAAACCGGAGCUAAUACCGGAUAACACCGAAGACCGCAUGGUCUUYGGUUGAAAGGCGGCSYWWGGCUGUCACUUGCGGAUGGGCCCGCGGCGCAUUAGCUAGUUGGUGAGGUAACGGCUCACCAAGGCGACGAUGCGUAGCCGGCCUGAGAGGGUGACCGGCCACACUGGGACUGAGACACGGCCCAGACUCCUACGGGAGGCAGCAGUAGGGAAUCUUCCGCAAUGGGCGAAAGCCUGACGGAGCGACGCCGCGUGAGCGAAGAAGGCCUUCGGGUCGUAAAGCUCUGUUGUGAGGGACGAAGGAGCGCCGUUCGAAGAGGGCGGCGCGGUGACGGUACCUCACGAGGAAGCCCCGGCUAACUACGUGCCAGCCGCCGCGGUAAUWCA
rnacentral:rRNA from 1 species